GCGGCCGGCACCCCAUCCACGGCUGCGCGCGGUGCCCAGACGGCGUUCGCACAAGGCUGAGCUCCACGCACGACCAGCUGGCGGCUCAUGGCCCCAAGUUGCCUACCGCCGGCGUUGUGGCCUCUAGGUGCCUGUCGUUGGCCCAUAGCCCCGAGAUGCCUGCUGCUAGUGCUGUGGCCCCAAACAGCCUGCAACCCUCAUGGCCCCAAGCAGCUUGCCGCCGACAGGGCCGAUGCUGUGGCCUCCAUGGUGGAGCAGCAACAAAUCCAACCGCCACGAGCACGGAUCCGAGCACUGCACGUAUGGAUCCGGCCAAGAUGCUCCAAGAUCUGGUGAAAGGAGAGAGAGAUCGAUGGGAUCUUGAAAGAGAGGAUGGGAGCUGCGGGAGAUGGGAAGGUGAGAGGAGUGCUCGCAGGGGUGGCCGCUUGGCACCACCUGCUGGCCGCCGCCGCUGUGGUUGCCGUUGCCGGUGGCCAGCAGCAGCAGCAGCUAACACGGCCCUGGGAGGGAGGUGGUUCGGUGGCUAGCAGGCCGUCGUCGAGUCGCCUCGCAAGGAGAUGACGUGAGGAAGACGACCGGGUCGACUGCUACUGCCGUCUCUGUCCGCCUUCGGGAGAAAUUCCAGUGACCCGUCAGCAUUAGCCACAGAUGGUUUCGUCGAGUGGAAGGAUUGCGGUUCGAAAGCUUUGAAGAUUAAUAAUUUCAAGAGAGUAAAAGCUGAAGACAUUAAGAGCAACUAUUCUUUGGAGAAAGGCAAGUGUAUCCUUGUGCUUUUGUCCCAAUAACUUUAUUUAAUCACUAUUGCAUAUGCUUUGCAUUUAAUUUGAUGGAUCCUAUUAAGAUUUGCCUAGUUUUGUGAUCAUUCCUUGUUAAACUGGGUUUUACCUUUAUGUUGGGUAGCACUGCUUAGUUGCUAUAUUUAGGUUAUGGUGGUUCUAAUGAACAAUGAUGAUAAACUUGUUUUAUUUAUGCUAUACCUCUAUUUAACUACAAGAUCACUCUAUUUAAUUGGAACAUGGAGAACCACCCAGAAAAACAGUGCAACCGUGAGAACCAUACCAUGGUUUUGGCUAAUUAAUUAGAUGAUUCUAAUGUUGUGUGGGUAAAACCGAUGCUAGUUGGAGGGGAACUCCCUAGUACUACUGGUUGGAGGGCAACUCCCCAGUACUUGCUUCUGGUUGGAGGGUUACUUCCCAUGAGUUGUGGUCAGGGGGUUACGCUCCGACGGUAAAUCUAAUACAUAUUAGGUGAAUCUAAGGUCUCGUAGCGUCCCUAUGCGGUUGCACCUUGAUAGUAUGAUGAUUACCUGAUCAACAUGAUAUUGUUGGGUCUAAAGUUCUUCUGAACUUUUACGUGACGUGUGGUGAAAGUGUACAGCCUCUGCAGAGUGUCUAAAACUGAUCGAUCAGCCAUGUUCAUGGUCCAGAGCGGCCUGGACCCUCACAUGAUAAUUGAACUUGAAGAUGGAUUUAAAUCGUGUUUUAUAUUAUGGUUAUAUUUUUGCCAUAUGUUUAUGACUUAUGCUUAUGUUAAUUGUGGGUUGGUAUAAACUUAUACCUUAGUAAUUAGGUGCUAAUAAAAUUUGACCAACUAAAACGGCUUAUUGCAGUAAACCUGUAAGACUCUCCUUGUUUAAACCUUGCAUUCAUAUUUUUCUCCACACUUGCUGAGUACGACAUGUGCUCACACUUGCUAUAAUCAAUGUUGCUUAGAAGAAGAAGCUGCUAUGAAGUUGUUUGAAGAUGGUACUGAGUUCUAGGCGUACGCAACCCCGGUCAAUUGUCUAUGAAGUUUGGAGCAUUCGUUUACAGGAUUAAACUGUUUCACAACAAUGUACAUGGAGUAUUAUUGGUCCUCCUACUAGCUCCGCUCUUGCCUGCAGUCCACAACUAUUUGAUCUCAUCCAGAUUAGAACUUUGGCAUAACUCCACCAGUUUUAGCCCAUUGCAGACUGAGCCGCAAGAAAAGCCUCGUACCUUGAGUGAUUCCUCUGGGGUUUGGAUUAAGGGAUCAAGUGACAAAUCAUCUUCUUAGUCAUCACAUCUUUUUUUUUAAAUAUGGUGGAUUAACCUAUCACCACUUAAAAUGAUCGGGAUAAACUAAAAGAGAUGACAUGAUAUAUAUGAUUUUCUUAAAAACCAGUUACUCCUUCACCUAUAAUUCCAA